GAUGAACGCUGGCGGCGUGCCUAAUACAUGCAAGUCGAGCGAACAGACGAGGAGCUUGCUCCUUUGACGUUAGCGGCGGACGGGUGAGUAACACGUAGGUAACCUACCUAUAAGACUGGGAUAACUUCGGGAAACCGGAGCUAAUACCGGAUAAUAUUUCGAACCGCAUGGUUCGAUAGUGAAAGAUGGCUUUGCUAUCACUUAUAGAUGGACCUGCGCCGUAUUAGCUAGUUGGUAAGGUAACGGCUUACCAAGGCAACGAUACGUAGCCGACCUGAGAGGGUGAUCGGCCACACUGGAAGUGAGACACGGUCCAGACUCCUACGGGAGGCAGCAGUAGGGAAUCUUCCGCAAUGGGCGAAAGCCUGACGGAGCAACGCCGCGUGAGUGAUGAAGGUCUUCGGAUCGUAAAACUCUGUUAUUAGGGAAGAACAAACGUGUAAGUAACUGUGCACGUCUUGACGGUACCUAAUCAGAAAGCCACGGCUAACUACGUG
rnacentral:rRNA from 1 species